rnacentral:rRNA from 1 species
GACGAAUGCUGGCGGCGUGCCUAAUACAUGCAAGUUGAGCGAUGAAGCUUGGUGCUUGCACCAAUUUGAAGAGCAGCGAACGGGUGAGUAACGCGUGGGGAAUCUGCCUUUGAGCGGGGGACAACAUUUGGAAACGAAUGCUAAUACCGCAUAACAACUUUAAACAUAAGUUUUAAGUUUGAAAGAUGCAAUUGCAUCACUCAAAGAUGAUCCCGCGUUGUAUUAGCUAGUUGGUGAGGUAAAGGCUCACCAAGGCGAUGAUACAUAGCCGACCUGAGAGGGUGAUCGGCCACAUUGGGACUGAGACACGGCCCAAACUCCUACGGGAGGCAGCAGUAGGGAAUCUUCGGCAAUGGACGAAAGUCUGACCGAGCAACGCCGCGUGAGUGAAGAAGGGUUUCGGAUCGUAAAACUCUGUUGGUAGAGAAGAACGUUGGUGAGAGUGGAAAGCUCAUCAAGUGACGGUAACUACCCAGAAAGGGACGGCUAACUACGUG